UUCUCAGCCAUAUCUCCACGAUAGAAAACAUAGCACAAAUUACAAAAUCCAUUUCAAACAAUUAUGAAAUCCAAUUCUUUCAUAACAGCAAAUAUAUCACGCAUGUUAAUGUCCUCUUUAUGCAUUUGAAGGAGGGUCUCGUUUGAUAUAUGAAUAUGCAAAUUAAUUAUAACGCUGUAAUAAACUAAUUCACUGCUGAAACGGCUGUCAGGUUAUUAAACACCACAAUCCACGAGAUUUAUAUGCUAUUGAGAUCCCACAUCGGACUCUCGUUUUAAUAAAUUAACUCAUACUUACUCCACAAGGCAAUUAGAAGCGCAGAUAUUAUAGCUAGAAACCAAAAAUGUGAUGGCAUUUUACUGAUACAGCCAGUAUCGAUCCAUCUGAACAAAUCAGUCACAUCAUAACCUUCUUUAGUGAACUUCAGCGACACAAUGGAGAGCCGACCUGGAUGUUAUUUCAGUAGAGAAGGCUCAGGAUAAAAGACGCUGGCGGUUCUCCAACAACUGGGCGCUCUAUAGGGUUACCUUAAAAAAGCAAGUGUCCAGACAGGAAGGCCGUGACAACGAGAGGAUACGGACCAACCUGAAAUGAAUUAGAGCUACACGUGGCGACUUGGUAUCAGCCCUCGCUGUUUGCACAGUUCGGAGAUCAGGUAAUUCAAGAGGCCGGGCCCGACUUUCAGCACUCUGGACAGCGCCCGUCUGAAGGGCUGAGAGGUGUUGGGGUGCGCGAGAAGGAACCGCAAAUGCCAGUUUACGCACAAAGAAGCUGGAGUAACUCGGCGGGUCAGGCAGCAUCUCUGGAGAAGAAGAAUAGGUGACGUUUCGGGUCGAGACCCUGUGCCUCGCAUGGGACGGAUCCAAGUCAAACUACCCACAGGACGGGAACACAGGACAGGAACACAGAUUUCACUUGCGUGUUCCUUCUGAGAACUGGCGACGGCGGGGGCGAGGAAACAACGAGUUUACACAUGUUACACAUACAUAGAAAGGCAAAGGGGGACAAAUGCAAGGGGAAACGAUUUUCAAGAGCUCAGAAUACAAUUGCACCGUUUCCAUCUGCGUGGUAAGGGUUGAAUUGCCAAAGACAAGGGGGCGUAGUGGGGCAAAGUUUAAGGAUUAGACUGGACAACAUGCAAAGGCCGCAAACCACAGCCACACCACGCCUGGCUCACCCGACGAGGAACCGGGGAGGAGGGUGGAGAGAGUCAAUGACGGCUAUUGUCAAAGGGCCGUUUUCAAGAUGGCGGUGGAUGGAGGAGAGGAUCGGUGCUGCUGGGACAACAGGCCUUUAAGGCCAAGUCAAGACUGCGCUCUUGAAACUUUGUGGGUGCCAGAAACGCCUUGAUGAAAUCUACUGUUAAGCUCCAGUCAUUGCACCUCUGUACUUAUCUAUGAUUGUGCUUAUCUAUAUUGUGAGCUAGGUACAUGUGACAAUAAAGUAUCAUUAUCAUCUAGAAAGCCUUUCACACUACCUUCGUGCACAUGACAAUAAUAAACCGAAUCAAUGUGCGACUUCAACCCACUUCUGAAAUGGACUAACCACCACCAUCUUCUCAAAGGAAAAUGAGGAAUGGGUAAUAAAUACUAUCCAGUGAAGCACAGAUGCAAAAUAAAUUACAAGUAAAACCUGAUUCAAUGUUGUUGGCUGAUUAGAGCCAUGAACAGCUUAUGCCCCUGUCCCACUUAGGAAACCUGAACGGAAACCUCUGGAGACUUUGUGCCCCAUCCAAGGUUUCCGUGCGGUUCCCGGAGGUUUUUGUC